rnacentral:rRNA from 1 species
AAGUCAUUGAUGCCAUGCUUCCAGGAAAAGCCUCUAAGCUUCAGAUUGUAAGGAAUCGUACCCCAAACCGACACAGGUGGUCGGGUAGAGAAUACCAAGGCGCUUGAGAGAACUCGGGUGAAGGAACUAGGCAAAAUGGUACCGUAACUUCGGGAGAAGGUACGCUCUUGAUGGUGAAGUCCCUUGCGGAUGGAGCUGACGAGAGUCGCAGAUACCAGGUGGCUGCAACUGUUUAUUAAAAACACAGCACUGUGCAAAAUCGUAAGAUGACGUAUACGGUGUGACGCCUGCCCGGUGCCGGAAGGUUAAUUGAUGGGGUUAGACUUCGGUCGAAGCUCUUGAUCGAAGCCCCGGUAAACGGCGGCCGUAACUAUAACGGUCCUAAGGUAGCGAAAUUCCUUGUCGGGUAAGUUCCGACCUGCACGAAUGGCGUAAUGAUGGCCACGCUGUCUCCACCCGAGACUCAGUGAAAUUGAAAUCGCUGUGAAGAUGCAGUGUACCCGCGGCUAGACGGAAAGACCCCGUGAACCUUUACUACAGCUUGGCACUGAACAUUGACCCUACAUGUGUAGGAUAGGUGGGAGGCUUUGAAGCACGUACGCCAGUAUGUGUGGAGCCGUCCUUGAAAUACCACCCUUGUAGUGUUGAUGUUCUAACGUCGACCCCUUAUCGGGGUUGCGGACAGUGCCUGGUGGGUAGUUUGACUGGGGCGGUCUCCUCCCAAAGAGUAACGGAGGAGCACGAAGGUGGGCUAAUCACGGUUGGACAUCGUGAGGUUAGUGCAAUGGCAUAAGCCCGCUUGACUGCGAGAAUGACAAUUCGAGCAGGUGCGAAAGCAGGUCAUAGUGAUCCGGUGGUUCUGAAUGGAAGGGCCAUCGCUCAACGGAUAAAAGGUACUCCGGGGAUAACAGGCUGAUACCGCCCAAGAGUUCAUAUCGACGGCGGUGUUUGGCACCUCGAUGUCGGCUCAUCACAUCCUGGGGCUGAAGUCGGUCCCAAGGGUAUGGCUGUUCGCCAUUUAAAGUGGUACGCGAGCUGGGUUUAGAACGUCGUGAGACAGUUCGGUCCCUAUCUGCCGUGGGCGUUGGAAGAUUGAAGGGGGCUGCUCCUAGUACGAGAGGACCGGAGUGGACGAACCUCUGGUGUUCGGGUUGUGUCGCCAGACGCAUUGCCCGGUAGCUAAGUUCGGAAUCGAUAACCGCUGAAAGCAUCUAAGCGGGAAGCGAGCCCUGAGAUGAGUCUUCCCUGAUACUUUAAGUAUCCUAAAGGGUUGUCGGAGACUACGACGUUGAUAGGUCAGGUGUGUAAGUGCUGUGAGGCAUUGAGCUAACUGAUACUAAUUGCCCGUGAGGCUUAACCAUACAACACCCAAGGGGUUU